UACGUAGGGACCAAGCGUUGUUCGGAUUUACUGGGCGUAAAGGGCGCGUAGGCGGCAAUUCAAGUCAUCUGUGAAAUCUCCGGGCUUAACCCGGAACGGUCAGAUGAUACUGCUUUGCUAGAGUGCGGAAGGGGCAAUCGGAAUUCUUGGUGUAGCGGUGAAAUGCGCAGAUAUCAGGAGGAACACCAAUGGCGAAGGCAGCUCGCUGGGACGGUACUGACGCUGAGACGCGAAAGCGUGGGGAGCAAACAGG
rnacentral:rRNA from 1 species